rnacentral:rRNA from 1 species
CCUGGCGGCCAUAGCGCGGUGGUCCCACCUGAUCCCAUGCCGAACUCAGAAGUGAAACGCCGUAGCGCCGAUGGUAGUGUGGGGUCUCCCC